AUUGAACGCUGGCGGCAGGCCUAACACAUGCAAGUCGAACGAGUGGCGGACGGGUGAGUAAUGUCUGGGAAACUGCCCGAUGGAGGGGGAUAACUACUGGAAACGGUAGCUAAUACCGCAUACCAUCGGAUGUUCCCAGAUGGGAUUAGCUAGUAGGUGGGGUAACGGCUCACCUAGGCGACGAUCCCUACCUGGUCUGAGAGGAUGACAAGCCACACGUGAACUGAGAAAAGGUCCAGAAUCAUACGGGAGGCAGCAGUGGUGAAUAUUGCACAAUGGGCGCAAGCCUGAUGCAGCCAUGCCGCGUGUAUGAAGAAGGCCUUCGGGGUGUAAAGUACUUUCAGCGGGGAGGCGUUACCCGCAGAAGAAGCACCGGCUAACUCCGUGCCAGCAGCCGCGGUAAUAC
rnacentral:rRNA from 1 species